rnacentral:rRNA from 1 species
UGGCCUGCCCGCUGACGUAUUUUGAGUUGAAGGGCCGCGGUAUUUUGACCGUGCAAAGGUAGCAUAGUCAUUAGUUCUUUAAUUGUGAUCUGGUAUGAAUGGCUUGACGAGACAUGGGCUGUCUUGGGUGUGAAUUUGUUGUUGAAUUUGGAGUUUAAGUUAAAAUUCUUAGAUGUUUUUAUGGGACGAGAAGACCCUAUAGAGUUUGACAUUUGAUUGCGUAUUUCUUGUUGUUUGUUUU